rnacentral:rRNA from 1 species
GUAAUGGCCUACCAAGGCGACGACGGGUAGCCGACCUGAGAGGGUGACCGGCCACACUGGGACUGAGACACGGCCCAGACUCCUACGGGAGGCAGCAGUGGGGAAUAUUGCACAAUGGGCGGAAGCCUGAUGCAGCGACGCCGCGUGAGGGAUGAAGGCCUUCGGGUUGUAAACCUCUUUCAGCAGGGACGAAGCGGAAGUGACGGUACCUGCAGAAGAAGCACCGGCUAACUACGUGCCAGCAGCCGCGGUAAUACGUAGGGUGCGAGCGUUGUCCGGAAUUACUGGGCGUAAAGAGUUCGUAGGCGGUCUGUCGCGUCGUUUGUGAAAACCCGGGGCUCAACUUCGGGCUUGCAGGCGAUACGGGCAGACUUGAGUGUUUCAGGGGAGACUGGAAUUCCUGGUGUAGCGGUGAAAUGCGCAGAUAUCAGGAGGAACACCGGUGGCGAAGGCGGAUCUCUGGGAAACAACUGACGCUGAGGAACGAAAGCGUGGGUAGCAAACAGGAUUAGAUACCCUGGUAGUCCACGCCGUAAACGGUGGGUACUAGGU